UUGUUUGUAACGACCCGUUUGGUCGUUUCGAGCUUUUGACUUCUUUUCCCUAAAAUACCCUUUCCGUAGUUUUAAAAGGUAUUCUUGACUUGCAUAAAUCGGUUGCACGAUGAUUUAAUUGGCGGGAAAAUUUUGAAAUAUAUUUAUUUAAUGUGUGUGAAUAGUUUAUUCAUAGGAAUAUGAGUUUCACCCAUAUAAGGUACAAGUUGGUAAAUAAAGUAUUUGAUGGAAUGACUAUAUUUUAAAGUAUAAGUUGGUGAAUAAUGUAAUUGACUAAGUGAGUCAAUUGCUAACUUAUACAGAGUGGCUGAGUAAAAAGGUUAUUUUAGAUAAUUGUUUAGUUAGUAAUUAAUGGGCUAAGUCCACAACUCUUUUAACACCAUAGGUUACACGGCCCAUAUACAAGAAUGAUUUAAGUUAAUAGGGUUGGACAUUUUUUUAGUAUUAGCAGAAAAACCUUGAGACAUCUACUCAAAACCUACGACGAAGAGGAGAAAUUGAGUGUCUCGGUAAUUUUGCUUGCCCGAUUGUGGAUAAAGAGAGGUAGAAGGUUGCUUUGUUUAUGGAAUGGAACGAGAAAGUAGAGUAAAAGUCUGCUAAUGUGAAAUUUCAGAACUACGACAAGAUCAGGAACAUUCAGAGACGCUCAGGAAAGGAAAGACGACUUUGUGAGUUCGUUGGCUUGACUUUAAGAGUACCAGUUGAGAUCGACUUCUACCCUCGUGGCUAAUAUUCGAGGAUUGCUGAUUCGAGUCCUUCAGGGUGAGCACGAGGAUGUUCGCUGCCCGAAGACUCUUUUUAUCAUUAUGUCUUUAUUCUCAUUCUGAGACAUGAUCUUUGAGGCUACUAUGUAUUAUCAUGAUUCAGACUUGUAGUAUUUAGUUAGAUGCUCUUGUAUGACCAGACCAGAUACUGGGGUGGAUUUCAUUUACUUCUACAUUUUUUUUUAUAUUAUGAUUGUGAGACUUACGCUA